rnacentral:other from 15 species
UUUACCCUGGGGUGUUCGUCAGCGGAUUUAUGUCCCUGAGCCGAUAAGCAACAUAACAGGGUUGGUAUUGGGUAGCUAUUGAGCAAGCUCGGCUUGUACCGAGAAGCCUGCGGUUACCAUUACUGAUCCGCCUUGAACCUGAUGGUUCAAGGGCUACGAUCCUCAACGGCAUCCCGGGGUUCUC